AUUGAACGCUGGCGGCAUGCCUUACACAUGCAAGUCGAACGGCAGCACGGGUGCUUGCACCUGGUGGCGAGUGGCGAACGGGUGAGUAAUACAUCGGAACGUACCUUAUCGUGGGGGAUAACGCAGCGAAAGCUGUGCUAAUACCGCAUACGCCCUGAGGGGGAAAGCGGGGGAUCGCAAGACCUCGCGCGAUUAGAGCGGCCGAUGCCUGAUUAGCUAGUUGGUGGGGUAAAAGCCCACCAAGGCGACGAUCAGUAGCUGGUCUGAGAGGACGAUCAGCCACACUGGGAAUGAGACACGGCCCAGACUCCUACGGGAGGAAGGAGUGGGGAAUUUUGGACAAUGGGGGCAACCCUGAUCCAGCAAUGCCGCGUGAGUGAAGAAGGCCUUCGGGUUGUAAAGCUCUUUUGUCAGGGAAGAAACACCGGCUCUAACACAGUCCGGGAAUGACGGUACCUGAAGAGUAAGCACCGGCUAACUACGUGCCAGCCGCCGCCGUAA
rnacentral:rRNA from 1 species